rnacentral:lncRNA from 1 species
UUUACUAUUGUAUUGGAUUUAAAAAAAAGAGAAGAAAUUCGAAAAAAAAAUUCAAAAAAAAUCGAAAAAAAAGGAAAAAAAAGAAGAAGUGACAAAAAAUCGAGUUAAAAAAAAGAAGAAAGAAAAAAAAGUGAAAAGUCUUGUGAGUUUUAUUUUGUUAUUAUUUCUUGUUGCUUCCGAGCAUCCAUUCAUUCUACCAUUCCCUCUACCCCCCAAAACGUCACACAUACUUUGAUUUUUAUUUUCCUUGUUUCAGCCUACCCUAUACACCCUGACGUUAUCCUUUGCACCUAUUUGAAGCCGACCCUCUAAGCCGCAAUAAGUCUUCUUGAAACAAAAUACGAAUUCACGAGAGUGAGACGAGUGGAAAAAGGCACGAGUGGUGAGUACAUUAGAGCGAGUAAAAUCCAUUAAACGAGUGUAAACACGAGUGGAGUGUUAUCCAAUUUUCUUUGUGAGUGAAACGUGAGAUUUUUGUGGCGAGGUAUUUACUUUCUAUUUUAUUUUAAUCAUUUUUUUCUUUUUUUUUUGCCAAAAAAAAAUCAUGUCACAAGAAUUUUCCGAAUCAGAUUUCCAAUAUUUGAUGCAAGAGAUGCGUAGACUGGUGAAAUCAAAUUUUGAUAAAUUGCAUGAUCGAUUGGAUCGAGUGGAGGAAAGAGCCAGACGGAAACAAAAUCCACCAAGUCGAGAAAC